rnacentral:rRNA from 1 species
UUGGAUGGUAGUGUAUUGGACUACCAUGGCGAUUACGGGUAACGGAGAAUUAGUGUUCGAUUCCGGAGAGGGAGCCUGAGAAACGGCYACCACAUCUAAGGAAGGCAGCAGGAGCGUAAAUUACCCAAUGUCGACUCGAUGAGCGUAGUGACAAUACAUAACAAAGAGGGGAUUUUUUAUCUUACUCUAUUGCAAUGAGGCAUGUUUAAUAACCUGUUCGAGCAACCAGUGAAGGGCAAGUCUGGUGCCAGCAGCCGCGGUAAUUCCAGCUUCACGAGUGUAUAUUUAAGUUGUUGCAGUUAAAAAGCUCGUAGUUGAACUUCUGUUUGUUCAGGAGGCGUGCAAGCGCAAUCUGGGCGAACAUCCGCCUGAAAAAUCAUUCGGGUCUUCACUGAUUCAGUGAUGGAUCAGGCAUUUUACUUUGAAAAAAUUAGAGUGUUCAAAGCAGGCUUUCGCCUGAAUACAUUAGCAUGGAAUAAUAGAAUAGGACGCUGUUCAAUUUGUUGGUUAUUGAAUUGCGUAAUGAUUAAUAGGGACAGUUGGGGGCAUUUGUAUUUAAUUGUCAGAGGUGAAAUUCUUGGAUUUAUUAAAGACAAACUUAUGCGAAAGCAUUUGCCAAGGAUGUUUUCAUUAAUCAAGAACGAAAGUUAGAGGAUCAAAGACGAUCAGAUACCGUC